CUUGGGAACAUGCCUUGAGGUGGGGGACAACAGUUGGAAACGACUGCUAAUACCGCAUAAUGUCUACGGACCAAAGGGGGCUUCGGCUCUCGCCUUUAGAUUGGCCCAAGUGGGAUUAGCUAGUUGGUGAGGUAAUGGCUCACCAAGGCAACGAUCCCUAGCUGGUUUGAGAGGAUGAUCAGCCACACUGGAACUGAGACACGGUCCAGACUCCUACGGGAGGCAGCAGUGGGGAAUAUUGCACAAUGGGCGCAAGCCUGAUGCAGCCAUGCCGCGUGUGUGAAGAAGGCCUUCGGGUUGUAAAGCACUUUCAGUCAGGAGGAAAGGUUAGUAGUUAAUACCUGCUAGCUGUGACGUUACUGACAGAAGAAGCACCGGCUAACUCCGUGCCAGCAGCCGCGGUAAUACGGAGGGUGCGAGCGUUAAUCGGAAUUACUGGGCGUAAAGCGUACGCAGGCGGUUUGUUAAGCGAGAUGUGAAAGCCCCGGGCUCAACCUGGGAACUGCAUUUCGAACUGGCAAACUAGAGUGUGAUAGAGGGUGGUAGAAUUUCAGGUGUAGCGGUGAAAUGCGUA
rnacentral:rRNA from 1 species